rnacentral:rRNA from 1 species
UACGUAUGGGGCGAGCGUUAUCCGGAUUCAUUGGGCGUAAAGAGCGCGUAGGCGGAUUGUUAAGCGAGAUGUGAAAACCGGGGGCUCAACCCGCGGCCUGCAUCUCGAACUGGCAGUCUUGAGUCUGGUAGAGGAAAGUGGAAUUCCCAGUGUAGCGGUGAAAUGCGCAGAUAUUGGGAGGAACACCAGUGGCGAAGGCGGCUUUCUGGGCCACGACUGACGCUGAGGCGCGAAAGCUAGGGGAGCAAACAGG